rnacentral:lncRNA from 1 species
GCAGCAGCAGCAGCAGCAGCAGCCGCCGGCAGCCCUGCCCCACAUGCAGCUAUUUGAGAACUACUACCCCAUGCAUCAGCCGCCUUCACAGCAGCACCAGGACUUUACCCUGGCACCGGGCGGGCCCCUGGGACAGACUCACCUGCCUCACCGCGGCAUGGCCCCCUACCCGUUCCCCCACAACCCAGAACUGCGCAAGGCCCUCCUGCAGGACCCUGCUUCACAGCCCGUGCUACCUCAGCCCCAGAUGGCCUUCCCGCGCCGCUCCCGCCGUCUCUCCAAGGAGGGGAUUCUGCCUUCCAACUCCCUCGAUGGAGCUGGCACCCAACCUGGACAGGAGCCCACGAGCAAUCUGUUCCUCCAUCACUGGUCUUUGCAGCAGCCGCCGCCAGGCGCCCUGGGGCAGCCCCAUUCCGAAGC